UACGGAGGGAGCUAGCGUUGUUCGGAAUUACUGGGCGUAAAGCGCACGUAGGCGGCUUUGUAAGUUAGAGGUGAAAGCCCGGAGCUCAACUCCGGAAUUGCCUUUAAGACUGCAUCGCUAGAAUUGUGGAGAGGUAAGUGGAAUUCCGAGUGUAGAGGUGAAAUUCGUAGAUAUUCGGAAGAACACCAGUGGCGAAGGCGACUUACUGGACACAUAUUGACGCUGAGGUGCGAAAGCGUGGGGAGCAAACAGG
rnacentral:rRNA from 1 species